UACGGGGGGAGCAAACGUUGUUCGGAAUUACUGGGCGUAAAGCGCGUGUAGGCGGCUAAGUAAGUCGGGCGUGAAAUCCCACGGCUCAACCGUGGAAGUGCACUCGAAACUGCAUAGCUAGAGUCCUGGAGAGGAAGGUGGAAUGCUUGGUGUAGAGGUGAAAUUCGUAGAUAUCAAGCGGAACACCGGUGGCGAAGGCGGCCUUCUGGACAGUGACUGACGCUGAGACGCGAAAGCGUGGGGAGCAAACAGG
rnacentral:rRNA from 1 species